rnacentral:rRNA from 1 species
UACGUAGGGUGCAAGCGUUAAUCGGAAUUACUGGGCGUAAAGCGUGCGCAGGCGGUUAUAUAAGACAGAUGUGAAAUCCCCGGGCUCAACCUGGGAACUGCAUUUGUGACUGUAUAGCUAGAGUACGGCAGAGGGGGAUGGAAUUCCGCGUGUAGCAGUGAAAUGCGUAGAUAUGCGGAGGAACACCGAUGGCGAAGGCAAUCCCCUGGGCCUGUACUGACGCUCAUGCACGAAAGCGUGGGGAGCAAACCGG